rnacentral:rRNA from 1 species
GAUGAACGCUGGCGGCGUGCCUAAUACAUGCAAGUCGAGCGAACAGACGAGGAGCUUGCUCCUCUGACGUUAGCGGCGGACGGGUGAGUAACACGUGGAUAACCUACCUAUAAGACUGGGAUAACUUCGGGAAACCGGAGCUAAUACCGGAUAAUAUAUUGAACCGCAUGGUUCAAUAGUGAAAGACGGUUUUGCUGUCACUUAUAGAUGUAUCCGCGCCGCAUUAGCUAGUUGGUAAGGUAACGGCUUACCAAGGCAACGAUGCGUAGCCGACCUGAGAGGGUGAUCGGCCACACUGGGACUGAGACACGGUCCAGACUCCUACGGGAGGCAGCAGUAGGGAAUCUUCCGCAAUGGGCGAAAGCCUGACGGAGCAACGCAGCGUGAGUGAUGAAGGUCUUCGGAUCGUAAAACUCUGUUAUUAGGGAAGAACAAAUGUGUAAGUAACUAUGCACGUCUUGACGGUACCUAAUCAGAAAGCCACGGCUAACUACGUG